rnacentral:piRNA from 2 species
UUCAGUAAGCUUUCUUUGUCACCCAUGGU